UACGUAGGUGGCAAGCGUUGUCCGGAAUUACUGGGUGUAAAGGGAGCGCAGGCGGGAAGCCAAGUCAGCUGUGAAAACUACGGGCUUAACUUGUAGACUGCAGUUGAAACUGGUUUUCUUGAGUGAAGUAGAGGUUGGCGGGAUUCCGAGUGUAGCGGUGAAAUGCGUAGAUAUUCGGGGGAACACCGGUGGCGAAGGCGGCCAACUGGGCUUUAACUGACGCUGAGGCUCGAAAGUGUGGGGAGCAAACAGG
rnacentral:rRNA from 1 species